rnacentral:ncRNA from 1 species
CACCGCCUGCCGCGUGAUCGUCAUGGCGACCACGCCCGUGCGGUUAUUGAAUCUGGUCGCGCCGCUGGCCACCCCGGCCACCGCCAUGCACACCACGGAUACCCCCGGCCCCGGCCGGCAUCGGUCCAGUGCAGUUUCCCGGCCGAGCAAUCGACCGGGCGACGUAGAUAGCGCGACUCAACG